AGAGUUUGAUCCUGGCUCAGGAUGAACGCUAGCGGCAGGCUUAACACAUGCAAGUCGAGGGGUAGAGGUUGCUUGCAACCUUGAGACCGGCGCACGGGUGCGUAACGCGUAUGCAAUCUACCUUUCACAGGGGGAUAGCCCGGAGAAAUUCGGAUUAAUAUUCCAUAGUAUAUAGAUGUGGCCUCACAAUUAUAUUAAAGAUUUAUCGGUGAAAGAUGAGCAUGCGUCCCAUUAGCUAGUUGGUAAGGUAACGGCUUACCAAGGCUACGAUGGGUAGGGGUCCUGAGAGGGAGAUCCCCCACACUGGUACUGAGACACGGACCAGACUCCUACGGGAGGCAGCAGUGAGGAGUAUUGGUCAAUGGGCGCAAGCCUGAACCAGCCAUGCCGCGUGCAGGAUGAAGGUCCUAUGGAUUGUAAACUGCUUUUGUACGGGAAGAAACACCGGUUCGUGAACCGGCUUGACGGUACCGUAAGAAUAAGGAUCGGCUAACUCCGUGCCAGCAGCCGCGGUAAUACGGAGGAUCCAAGCGUUAUCCGGAAUCAUUGGGUUUAAAGGGUCCGUAGGCGGCCAUGUAAGUCAGUGGUGAAAUCUCACGGCUCAACCGUGAAAUGGCCAUUGAUACUGUGUGGCUUGAAUAAUCGGGAAGCAGCUAGAAUAUGUAGUGUAGCGGUGAAAUGCUUAGAUAUUACAUGGAAUACCGAUUGCGAANGCAGGCUGCUACCGGUUUAUUGACGCUGAUGGACGAAAGCGUGGGGAGCGAACAGGAUUAGAUACCCUGGUAGUCCACGCUGUAAACGAUGGAUACUAGCUGUUGGAGUUUACUUCAGUGGCUAAGCGAAAGUGAUAAGUAUCCCACCUGGGGAGUACGAACGCAAGUUUGAAACUCAAAGGAAUUGACGGG
rnacentral:rRNA from 1 species